CAGCAGCCGCGGGAAUACGAAGGGGGCUAGCGUUGCUCGGAAUGACUGGGCGUAAAGGGCGCGUAGGCGGCUGACACAGUCAGAUGUGAAAUUCCUGGGCUCAACCUGGGGACUGCAUUUGAGACGUGUUGGCUUGAGUGGAGAAGAGGGUCGUGGAAUUUCCAGUGUAGAGGUGAAAUUCGUAGAUAUUGGAAAGAACACCGGUGGCGAAGGCAGCGACCUGGUCUUUAACUGACGCUGAGGCGCGAAAGCGUGGGGAGCAAACAGGAUUAGAUACCCCGGUAGUCCCUGUCUCUUAUAC
rnacentral:rRNA from 1 species